UACCCCUAGGAGAAGUUGAAUCCCCGUUGUCUCCUCGAAAAAGAGAUGUCCUAACCCACUAGACGAUGGGGGC
rnacentral:tRNA from 1 species